rnacentral:rRNA from 1 species
AGAAGGUUUUAGGACUGUAAAACACUUUUAGUAGGGAAGAAAAAAAUGACGGUACCUACUGAAGAAGCAACGGCUAAAUACGUGCCAGCAGCCGCGGUAAUACGUAUGUUGCGAGCGUUAUCCGGAAUUAUUGGGCUUAAAGGGCAUCUAGGCGGUAAGACAAGUUGAAGGUGAAAACCAGUGGCUCAACCAUAGGCUUGCCUACAAAACUGU